rnacentral:rRNA from 1 species
CCCUUAGAUGUUCUGGGCCACACGCGCGUUACACUGAUGGAGCCAGCGAGUAUAUCGCCUUCACCGGAAGGUGCGGGUAAUCUUGUGAAACUUCAUCGUGCUGGGGAUAGACCAUUGCAAUUAUUGGUCUUGAACGAGGAAUUCCUAGUAAGCAUGAGUCAUCAACUCGUGCUGAUUACGUCCCUGCCCUUUGUACACACCGCCCGUCGCUACUACCGAUUGAAUGGUUUAGUGAGAUCUCGGGAUUGGAGACGUUGCGCCGCAAGGCACAUCGUCCUCGAGAACUUGAUCAAACUUGAUCAUUUAGAGGAAGUAAAAGUCGUAACA